GCCUCCUUAGUGCAGCGGUGUAAGCCGCUGGGACAGACUUGCCCAAGCAAAUUGAUGAGGUCCAGGGUUCGACUCCCUGAGGAGGCA